rnacentral:rRNA from 1 species
GCCUAAAGGGGCUGUAGCCGGGUUGAUAAGUUCCUGGUUAAAUUAACAGCUUAACUGUUAGCUAGCUAGGAAUACUGUCUUACUAGAGGGUGGGAAAGGUCUGGGGUACUCCAGGGGUAGCGGUGAAAUGCGAUAAUCCUUGGGGGACCACCAGUGGCGAAGGCGCCAGACUGGAACACGCCUGACGGUGAGGGACGAAAGCCAGGGGAGCGAACGGGAUUAGAUACCCCGGUAGUCCUGGCCAUAAACGUUGCGUGCUAGGUGUUGGUAGGGCUUUGAGCCGUAUCAGUGCCGUAGGGAAACUGUUAAGCGCGCCGCCUGGGAAGUACGCUCGCAAGAGUCAAACUUAAAGGAAUUGGCGGGGGAGCACCACAAGGGGUGAAGCCUGCGGUUCAAUUGGACUCAACGCCGGGAAACUUACCGGGGGCGACAGCACUAUGAUGGUCAGAUUGACGACCUUACCUGAGGAGCUGAGCGGAGGUGCAUGGCCGUCGCCAGUUCGUGCCGUGAGGUAUCCUGUUAAGUCAGGCAACGAACGAGACCCACACACUUAAUUGCCAUCAAAGGCCUUCGGGUCUGUUGGGAACAUUAAGUGGACCGCCACCAUACAGGUGGAGGAAGGGGUGGGCUACGGCAGGUCAGUAUGCCCCUAAUCCCCCGGGCCACACGCGGGCUGCAAUGGUAUGGACAAUGGGUUGCGACUCUGAAAAGAGAAGCCAAUCCCGAAACCAUAUCUCAGUUGGGAUUGUCGGCUGUAACCCGCCGACAUGAACGUGGAAUCCCUAGUAAUCGUGUGUCAUCAUCGCACGGUGAAUACGUCUCUGCUCCUUGUACCCACCGCCCGU